CCAAGGCCCUGCACCAUCCUCACGGCCUCCUUUGGACACUCUCUAACAGCUCAAUGUCUUUUUUGUGUUGUGGCACCCAAAAGUGCCCCCAGCACUUGAGUAGUUGGAGGCACAUAUCUACCAGUCCUGAGAACCAAAGACACCGUUGCAGGCUUAGACUGAAGAAGAAUAAACAACAGCAAAUUGAGGACAGCAGUCCGGAAGGAUGGGACUUCAUAACCUGAAGCUGUAAUUAAACAAUUGACCCCAAUAUGUAAAUGGUCCAAAACUUAUAAAAGUGUGCAAACUCGUGACCGGUCAUCCAUCUUGCAUCCGGCUGGCGUCCAUCUUGGAUGCAGCCAUGUCCAGGCUCUUGUACUGCCCAAGGUGUAUCCUUUGAAGGCCUUUUAAUACAUACCUGCCUUAUUGUUUUAACAAUGUCUACACUCUGU